rnacentral:lncRNA from 1 species
UAUUAUUUUGUUUUAAUUAAUGUAGGAGGAAGACGAUGUGUAAGGACCAUCACAGAAAAUUGGAUUCUGGAUUCAAGGUGAUAACUAACAAACAAACAAUUUUCCUUCAUUAAUUUGCGUUCUGGCUUCAAAUUUUGUAAAAUGUUUGAAUUCAAAUCGGGUUAAUCGGAUUGGUGAAAUUAGGAUUUCAUGAAGAAUUGUCCUGUAGAAAUUGGGCUUCAUGUUAAUUCUAUUGAAAUCAAUUGAAAUUAAUUAUUGAUAAUAAGACUUUUCUCCUCUUUUUUUGGUUGUGAGUGUUGCUAAGGUGUUUUUUUUUUCUUCUUUAUAGUGAGGGAACAAGCAUCUCUUCCCUUCCAUUAACUCUAGCAAGAAAAAGAGAGGAAACGUAUCUCUUGAUUUUCCUUUUCUGUAUGCAAUUAUUUAGAGGGAAUCGGUGGAGGAAGAGGAGGUCGAGUGUUUGUAGACCCAUGAGCAACAAAGGCAGACUACAAUAAGAAUUUGGUAAGUCCAUCAAUGAAAUACUCUAUUACAAUACACCACGUGCGUUACACGCCAGGAAUUAGUUUGAUAAAUAUUUAAUGUUUUACAGCUAGUAGCUCAUAUAUUGUUAAAUCAUUAAAUCACAUUCCUUUUGUGAAAUCAUUGAAGUUAAAAAAUGGUAGAGAGAAAAAUAUUAAUUUAUUCGUAUCUUAAAUACAUCUUUUGGGGUGCAGGUAAAUUUAAUUUUUCUAUAGACAUGACAUGUAUAAUUUUGAUGGGAUGACGUUAUUAUUAUGCAGAUUUCCAUCUGGUUGACCAUUUCCAAUACAAGUUUGGGGCUCCAAGUUUAGAUACUCAUAGCUCAGUCAUUUACUGGAUCAAGAAAAUUGUUAAUUAUGUCAGUUGCUAUGAGCUUGUGGGUGGACCACCUACAUGGCAGGCUUUGUAUAUAUUUUGUUACAAGCUCCGGUUCACAACUGUUGAUGAUGUGUUGUUUAAAUUAGAUAUGACUUGUACAUGGUUUUUGUUGUUAAGGAGUUGCUGGAAGAGGCCAAACCAACCAUUAUUUAAGAGCAAUCCAAGAAACUACAUUUGUUAAGUGAAGCCAACGCUCUGCUAAAGAAAACAAAAAGAUUAUGAAGAUUGAGGAUGAUCGAGUUCACGUUUCACUUUUUAUCCUUCCAUCCCCAUCUCCUUGAGUAAAGAUCAUUUGUUGUAUUACAUGGCUACCAAAUAUUUCAAACACUCCUGGGAACAUUUUAGACGUAAAAUUCUACAUUAUAUGAGGAAUUUCCUUUUUUCCGAAUGGAGAAUCAUGUAGGCUAUCUUGCCAUUUCCAAGAGUAAUGUGUGGUUGUGUGUAAUACUUAAAAAAGAGAUGUUAUUUCUAAGCACUGCUUACCUAUCAGAGUCAAUGUAGAAGUAAGGUAAUUGCCACAUUUUCCAAAUCCAUGUAGAAGCAAGGAA